rnacentral:rRNA from 1 species
CAGCCGCCACGGUAAUACGUAGGGUGCAAGCGUUAACCGGAAUUACUGGGCGUAAAGCGUGCGCAGGCGGUUCGUUAAGACAGAUGUGAAAUCCCCGGGCUUAACCUGGGAACUGCAUUUGUGACUGGCGAGCUAGAGUAUGGCAGAGGGGGGUAGAAUUCCACGUGUAGCAGUGAAAUGCGUAGAGAUGUGGAGGAAUACCGAUGGCGAAGGCAGCCCCCUGGGCCAAUACUGACGCUCAUGCGCGAAAGCGUGGGGAGCAAACAGGAUUAGAUACCCGUGUAGUCCCUGUCUCUUAUAA